rnacentral:rRNA from 1 species
UCCCAGCAGUCCAAGUCGUAGCCACAAUUAUUGGGUCUAAAACAUUCGUAGCUUGUUCGGAAAGUCUCCUGUGAAAUAGUUUCGCUUAACGAAACUGCGUGCAAGAGAUACUACCGGGCUUGAGACCGGAAGGAGUGAGAGGUACAUCUGAAGUAGUAGUAAAAUACGUUAAUCUUAGAUGGACCAACAAUGGCGAAGGCAUCUCACUAGGACGGAUCUGACAGUGAGGAAUGAAGGCUAGGGGCGCGAAACGG